rnacentral:rRNA from 1 species
UACGUAGGCAGCAAGCGUUGUUCGGAGUUACUGGGCGUAAAGGGUGCGUAGGCGGCUUUUUAAGUUUGGUGUGAAAUCCUCCCGGCUCAACUGGGAGGGUGCGCCGAAUACUGAGAGGCUAGAGUGUGGGAGAGGAAAGUGGAAUUCCUGGUGUAGCGGUGAAAUGCGUAGAUAUCAGGAGGAACACCGGUGGUGUAAACGGCUUUCUGGACCAUAAACUGACGCUGAGGCAACGAAAGCGUGGGUAGCAAACAGG